UUCAGUAUUCUGAUCACGUGUCCCUCAUGUUGUCAAGAACAAAAUUUCCGUACUUGUCCUUUUAAAAUGACCCAAAUUACUUGCUGAAAUACUUGCUUCAAGCAUCCUGAUUAACUAUGAUAUCUAAUGGAACUAUUAUUUUACGAUGGUGGAGGAACAUCCUAGAGAUGUUGGCAUGAGAUGGAUGAGCUAAGCAUUGUAUAUGGGGAUGAGUCUCUACCCGGUCUCUAUGAAAAUUCUCGGAUUUCAGGGAUCAGCUACCUGACACAGGCAUUGUUAAACGGGCUGUUGCUCUCGGGGGUUAUCUUCAUAAUCCACUGGCAAUGGUUGCAACUCUGUGUGGUCCUGAGAAGGAAAUAUUGUCUUGGAAGCUUAAUCCUAUGAAGAACUUUCUAACAACAGAUGAGAAGUAUCAGGUGUUCCUGGUUUGUAAAGACUGAGAUGAGAAGCAAUCGACAACUGCAUGUCCAGAACCUUGACCUUAGGAGCGAAGCAGCAUACAGAGUGACCAAGAGAAAGCUUGUAAAGAGAGGGAGAGGGCCAACUAUUACUAUUGAUGAAGCUAUCGAGGUAUGUUGCAAGUAAAUAACUUUUUUUUUUCAACUAAAGCCAUGAUGCACUUCGAAAAUGUAAGAGUAAAUGUUGGGCUAUUUAUUGGAGAGUGAAUGAAGGAGAAAAUGGUAAUUUAAUUUAUUUAAUUUAAAAACUGUAUGUUUAUUUAAAGUUUUGGCUUAAAAUGCGCACUUUUCAACUUCAAUGAGAGGUCUUAGGAAUUUAUUCUAGUUAGGAGUAGGUUGGAAAUAUUUUUAAUGUACAUGGCUACAUUAGAGCUCGAAUGCACCAUAUAUACCACCCCCUACACAACAAAGCAGCUCAGCUUCAUUCUAGUAAUAAGAUCCCUUCCAAAGCUAUUAGCAGCUGCCCAUCGAAAGUAGAAGUUCAACAAAGCAUGGCUUCUAAACCAGGAAAUAUUCUCACUGACUGGCCAUGGAAGCCUCUUGAAAGUUUUAAGAAUCUUGGCUCCAUAGAUCGCAGAGAGCAUAUACUCGAUUAUAGUUAAGGAUGCAAAGUAGUGUGAUGUUUUCAAUUUUGCGAUAUUCCCACUCAUGUUAUGAUGAAAGUUGCACAGCUAGCUUUGGGUUAGCCUUUCUCGUUGUCGAUCGAACUGCCAAAGGCACCAAUAGGAUUGUGGAUAAAGAUAUCGAAUUUGACCAAGUUGACAGGGAAAGGAACCGGUAAUUGAUAUGCCCAAGUAACAAAUAAAGUUAAAUUUGUUACACGUUUUAAGCCUUUAUUUAUUCAAUUUUGUUUUAUUACUGUGUAUUUUUUAAUUAAUUUUGAUGACAAUGUAUGAUGUCGAUAAUGUUAAAUUUAACUUUUAAUGUUUCUAUUUUCUUAUUAA